AACGCACAUUGCGCCCCUUGGUAUUCCAUGGGGCAUGCCUGUUCGAGCGUCAUUUACACCCUCAAGCUUUGCUUGGUGAUGGGCGUCUGUCCCGCGGUUCCGCGUGGACUCGCCCCAAAGGUAUCGGGCAACGCGGUCCGCCGCGUGCCUCAAAUCGACCGGCUGGGCCUUCUGUCCCCUAAGCGUUGUGGAAACUAUUCGCUAAAGGGUGUUCGGGAGGCUACGCCGUAAAACAACCCCAUUUCUAAGGUUGACCUCGGAUCAGGUAGGGAUACCCGCUGAACUUAA
rnacentral:misc_RNA from 1 species